AUCUUUGCGCUUAGUGUAAUGACGCAGCUAGUGAGGUUCUAACCGCGGCGCGUCUAUUGCUGGUUGAAAACUAUUUCCAAACCCCCUCUUUGGCCUAAGUUUAUCUUAGACUGUUGAGAAUUUCUGAAAAGGCUCGCUUUGGAUAAAGCC
rnacentral:snRNA from 1 species